GGAGGCAGCAGUGGGGAAUAUUGGUCAAUGGGCGCAAGCCUGAACCAGCAAUGCCGCGUGAGUGAUGAAGGCCUUCGGGUUGUAAAGCUCUGUCGGGAGGGACGAAAAAGGCCGGGUCAUUCCGGCACUUGACGGUACCUCCAAAGGAAGCACCGGCUAACUCUGUGCCAGCAGCCGCGGUAAUACAGAGGGUGCAAGCGUUGUUCGGAAUUACUGGGCGUAAAGCGCGUGUAGGCUGCGGCGUAAGUCGGAUGUGAAAGCCCUUGGCUUAACGCCAAGGAAGUGCAUCUGAUACUGCGUCGCUUGAGUGUCGGAGGGAUGGCGGAAUUCCCGGUGUAGAGGUGAAAUUCGUAGAUAUCGGGAGGAACACCUGUGGCGAAGGCGGCCAUCUGGACGAUAACUGACGCUGAGACGCGAAAGCGUGGGUAGCAAACAGGAUUAGAUACCCUGGUAGUCCACGCUGUAAACGAUGAGUGCUAGGCGUCGUGGGUAUUGACCCCUGCGGUGCCGAAGUUAACACGUUAAGCACUCCGCCUGGGGAGUACGGUCGCAAGAUUAAAACUCAAAGGAAUUGACGGGGGCCCGCACAAGCGGUGGAGCAUGUGGUUUAAUUCGACGCCCUYGUAACCUUACCUGGGUUUGAACU
rnacentral:rRNA from 1 species